CCGAGUUAUCAACUCCCAAACCCCUGUGAACAUACCUAUCGUUGCUUCGGCGGGAUCCGCCCCGGCGCCCUCGGGCCCGGAAUCAGGCGCCCGCCGGAGACCCCAAACUCUUGUAUUUCUAUAUGAAUCUUCUGAGUGACACAAGCAAAUAAAUUA
rnacentral:misc_RNA from 1 species